UCUGGUCGGUAUACGGGUAGGUCUGGUCGGUAUAUGGGUAGGUGUAUAUAGUGUUACGGUAGGUCUGGUCGGUAUACGGGUAGGUCUGGUCGGUAUACGGGUAGGUGUAUAUAGUGUUAAGGUAGGUCUGGUCGGUAUACGGGUAGGUCUGGUCGGUAUACGGGUAGGUCUGGUCGGUAUACGGGUAGGUCUGGUCGGUAUACGGGUAGGUGUAUAUAGUGUUAAGGUAGGUCUG